UUACCUGGAAGUCUUGUUAAUAAUGCAUAUUCUGAUUCCAUGGGGCUGGAGAUCUUGCAUUUCUAACAAGUUCCAAGGUUAUG
rnacentral:pre_miRNA from 1 species